UCCGCCUUGGUGCAACUGGCAGCACGGCGCCCUUUGGUGGCGUUCAGAUCCAGGUUCGAAUCCUGGGGGCGGAG
rnacentral:tRNA from 1 species